GGCAGGUGUGGUAGGUGGGGCUCAUGGCCAUCUCAGUCAUGGCCACCUCAGUCAUGGCCACCUCACAUAAACCCCCUUCAUUACUACCUGUAGGGCCACAUAAACCAAGGUGUAUGGCAUUGAGGAACAGGGUAACGAACAUUAACAUCACCUUUAGGGCCCGUGACCUCGUGUGUGAUAGUUACUUGUGAUCAGCUGUAGUUUGCAUUAAGUAAUCAGGGGGUGGACUGUAUUACUGUUGACAUUUAACAAUUCAGUCAUUAACUUUAUUUGUGUCUCGGUAAUACACGCCAUGGUUUAUUAAAACUAUUUAUGGACCACCCUGUAUAAUAGCAUCACUUAUGGACCACCCUGUAUAAUAGAAGUCUGAAAAUAUCAAUCCUCAUGUCAAGUGCCAGUCUUUACGAUGUGUCUGUCUGUCUGUCUGUGUCUGUAUAUUUGAAUGUAUGCCUAAAUCACGACAAAUUUUUCAUUAGGGUCCGAUUCCGUGUGUUUACCUCUGACGACGUUGAUAUAUUGUUUCGUAGUCUCGGAAUAUUGGCGUUUAUCAGACACGAGGGUGGUGUAGGAAUGGCUUCGAAUGAGACUGUGUGUGUGUGUAAUUUUAGACCUUAUGGCUUACCUGACGAUUAGCACCCCCCCCCCCAAGUAAUCAUUUUCAUGUUAGCUCCCAAGAUAGUUAUGGGGUGGUUAGAUUUGGUUGGGUGGAGGUGGCUUAAGGUGAGCACUUGGGGGAAAUAAUCUACAGGUAAACACGUGGUGGGGAGCUAAUCUACAGGUAAACACUUGGUGGGGAGCUAAUCUACAGGUGAUAAGGACCACAUCACCCCUAGUUCACCCCACAAGUCAAUAAACGAAUUCAGAUACGACCAAAAAAAAAA